GGCCAGUUAGCUCAGUUGGUCAGAGCAUGGUGCUGAGAACACCAAGGUCAAGGGUUCGAAUCCCUAUACCGGCCA